rnacentral:rRNA from 1 species
AUUGAACGCUGGCGGCAUGCUUUACACAUGCAAGCCGAACGGUAACAGGCCGCAAGGUGCUGACGAGUGGCGAACGGGUGAGUAAUGCAUCGGAACGUGCCCAGUCGUGGGGGAUAACGCAGCGAAAGCUGCGCUAAUACCGCAUACGAUCUAUGGAUGAAAGCGGGGGACCGUAAGGCCUCGCGCGAUUGGAGCGGCCGAUGUCAGAUUAGGUAGUUGGUGGGGUAAAGGCUCACCAAGCCAACGAUCUGUAGCUGGUCUGAGAGGACGACCAGCCACACUGGGACUGAGACACGGCCCAGACUCCUACGGGAGGCAGCAGUGGGGAAUUUUGGACAAUGGGCGCAAGCCUGAUCCAGCAAUGCCGCGUGCAGGAAGAAGGCCUCGGGUUGUAAACUGCUUUUUGUACGGAACGAAACGGUCCGGGCUAAUACCCUGGGCUAAUGACGGUACCGUAAGAAUAAGCACCGGCUAACUACGUGCCAGCAGCCGCGGUAAUACGUAGGGUGCAAGCGUUAAUCGGAAUUACUGGGCGUAAAGCGUGCGCAGGCGGUUUUGUAAGACAGGCGUGAAAUCCCGGGCUAACCUGGGAAUUGCGCUUGUGACUGCAAGGCUGGAGUGCGGCAGAGGGGGAUGGAAUUCCGCGUGUAGCAGUGAAAUGCGUAGAUAUGCGGAGGAACACCGAUGGCGAAGGCAAUCCCCUGGGCCUGCACUGACGCUCAUGCACGAAAAGCGUGGGGGAGCAAAACAGGAUUAGAUACCCUGGUAG